rnacentral:rRNA from 1 species
CCUACGGGUGGCAGCAGUGGGGAAUAUUGCACAAUGGGGGAAACCCUGAUGCAGCGACGCCGCGUGAGUGAAGAAGUAAUUCGUUAUGUAAAGCUCUAUCAGCAGGGAAGAAAAUGACGGUACCUGAGUAAGAAGGCACGGCUAACUACGUGCCAGCAGCCGCCGUAAUACGUAGGGGGCAAGGGUAAUCCGGAUUUAGUGGGUGUAAAGGGAGCGUAGAGGGCAGUGCAGGUCUGGAGUGAAAGGCGGGGGCUCCACCCCCGUACUGCUCUGGAAACGGUACGGCUGGAGUGCAGGAGAGGUAAGUGGAAUUCCUAGUGUAGCGGUUAAAUGCGUAGAUAUUAGGAGGAACUCCAGUGGCGAAGGCGGCUUACUGGCCUGUAACUGACGUUGAGGCUCGAAAGCGUGGGGAGCAAACAGGAUUAGAUACCCCUGUAGUC